rnacentral:rRNA from 1 species
UUCGGGGGACAGGGUGACAGGUGGUGCAUGGUUGUCGUCAGCUCGUGUCGUGAGAUGUUGGGUUAAGUCCGCAACGAGCGCAACCCUCGCCUCUAGUUGUCCAGCAUUCGGUUGGGCACUCUAGAGGGACUGCCGGCGACAAGUCGGAGGAAGGUGGGAGUGACGUCAAAUCAUCAUGCCCCUUAUGACCUGGACUACACACGUGCUACAAUGGGCGGUACAAAGGGCUGCGAACCCGCGAGGGGGGAGCGAAUCCCAAAAAGCCGCUCUCAGUUCGGAUUGCAGGCUGCAACUCGCCUGCAUGAAGCCGGAAUCGCUAGUAAUCGCGGAUCAGCAUGCCGCGGUCGAAUACGUCCGGCCUU